AUUGAACGCUGGCGGCAUGCUUUACACAUGCAAGUCGAACGGUAGCGCGGGGCAACCUGGCGACGAGUGGCGAACGGGUGAGUAAAGCAUCGGAACGUGCCCUGGAAUGGGGGAUAACGUAGCGAAAGUUACGCUAAUACCGCAUAUUCUGUGAGCAGGAAAGCAGGGGAUCGCAAGACCUUGCGUUCUGGGAGCGGCCGAUGUCGGAUUAGCUAGUUGGUGGGGUAAAAGCCUACCAAGGCGACGAUCCGUAGCGGGUCUGAGAGGAUGAUCCGCCACACUGGGACUGAGACACGGCCCAGACUCCUACGGGAGGCAGCAGUGGGGGAAUUUUUGGACAAUGGGCGGAAGCCUGAUCCAGCCAUGCCGCGUGAGUGAAGAAGGCCUCGGUUGUAAAGGUACGU
rnacentral:rRNA from 1 species